UACGAAGGGGGCUAGCGUUACUCGGAUUGACUGGGCGUAAAGGGCGCGUAGGCGGUUCGUACAGUCAGACGUGAAAUUCCUGGGCUCAACCUGGGGGCUGCGUUUGAUACGUGCGGGCUUGAGUUCGGAAGAGGGUCGUGGAAUUCCCAGUGUAGAGGUGAAAUUCGUAGAUAUUGGGAAGAACACCGGUGGCGAAGGCGGCGACCUGGUCCUUGACUGACGCUGAGGCGCGAAAGCGUGGGGAGCAAACAGG
rnacentral:rRNA from 1 species